rnacentral:lncRNA from 1 species
UCUCAAGGGGUUAGGUGUCAUGAGUGUCAGGAAUUUGGGCACUAUAGAAAUGAAUGUCCUAACUUUAAGAAAAAUCUAAAGAAAGGGAAUAGGAAGGCAUUAACUGUGUCCUUGACUGAUGAUGAUUCUAAUUUAAGUGAACAAAGUGAUUCCUCAAGCAGUGAGGAGGAAAAGGGCUAUAUGGCUUUUGUAUCUACUGUCAAGAGCGAGUUAGACAAGGAGAGUGAGAAGGUUGAGGAGGAAGUGGAGAGUAACAAGUUCGGUGAUGAUUCGGAGGAUGAGACGGAUAUACAUGAGACUUAUCAACUCCUGUUUAAGGAGAGUCUCAAGAUCAAAAAGGUAAAUAAAGCCCUUUUUAAGAAGGUAGACAAGCUUGAGAGAGAGAAGGAGAAAAUCACCUAUGACCUUCAAAUCUCAUCUAAGAAUCUAAGUGAGUUGAAGUAUGUCAAUGAGAGAUUAGAGGGCAGGGUCAAGACAUUGACCUAUGAAUUAGAGAGAUCCAACACUCAACUGCAAUCAUUUGUGAAUGGAAUUAAGAAACUAGACGAUUUGUUAGGAAUGAAAAAACCAGCUGGAAAUAGGCAAGGUCUAGGAUUUGUAAAGAGUGAUAGUAAUAUGUCUAGUUUAUCAAAGACCACAUUUGUCCAUGCUUCCAACAGAUCUAACGUUUCAACAAAUCCAGAAUCCAAAGUCAAAAAUUUUAAUGGACUAAAGGCCACUAGAGCUCAUAAGAUCUCUACACCUAAUUUUCAUAAUCAACACUCACGUACAUUUGAACCUAGAUUCAUACCCACUUGUCAUCACUGUGGUGCCUUAGGCCACACGAGACCUAGGUGUCGAAAGCUAGCAAAUAGGAAUCGAAAUCAGGAUAUCCCUAGUCAAGUGAACUUACUUUCAAAUCAGGUUAGCCACUUAACUGAGAUGGUAACAAGGUUGAGUAGGAUCAUCUCGACCUCGAGAAAAAUUUGGGUAAAGAAAUCUGAUGUGGGUGAGUAUAUUGAGAAUCUAAAAUGUUUUGUUGCUCAUGUUGCAUAUAAGGCACAAAAUACAUGCAUGUGGUAUCUUGAUAGUGCUUGUUCUAGACACAUAUGUGGUAAUAAGGCCUUAUUCUCUACCUUUGACGACUGUAACGGCGGUGUAGUUACUUUUGGGGAUGGAGCUAUGGCACCCAUCCGAGGUAAAGGCUCCAUCACCAUUGCUGGACUUCAUACAAUAUCCAAUGUACUUUAUGUAAAGGGCCUUAAGUUCAACUUAUUGAGCAUUAGUCAAAUCUGUGAUGCUGACUAUGAAGUGAGUUUUAUCCAAAAGAGAUGCACUAUUUAUGAUGCUUCUGGUGGUGUUGUUCUUGAAGGUAUUAGAGCAUCUGAUAAUUGUUAUGAAGUUCUUCCAAA